CACAGACAGAACCCGAAGUCUUUUGGUUGACGUAGCUUCAUCUCCAGAGCACCUUCCCUUAAUUUAAUGCUCAAAUGACGGGGCUUCAAGAGCCGUGAUCUGCCACGGAGCACUUCCCUCAGCCUCUAGAAUUUCCAGCAAUUCUCCGUUCUCAUUUUCAGCGGCACCAGCGGCGUUGCGUUCCCGACAAUUGCAUUGAUAUCCUGCUCCCCUGUUUUCUUCCCUUCCGGCCAGGUAUCUGAGAAUUACGUUCUCAGUAGAUCAAUAUUGAUGAGGUGAUGUCUGUAACAGAUAUGGUGUCAUCAAGAAGCAUGGCUCAAACAACGUCAUCGUUUUCAUCUUCUUCCCCUUCAUCUUCAUCAUCAUCAUUGUUACCAACCAACCUCCCUCUUUUCUCUGCCUUCCUUGCCUGUGCUCUUGCUCAGUUCCUUAAGCUCUUCACAAACUGGUUUAAAGAAAAGAGAUGGGAUUCUAAAAGGAUGCUUGAUUCUGGUGGAAUGCCAUCUUCACAUUCUGCCACUGUGACAGCUCUAGCAAUGGCUAUAGGUCUACAAGAAGGAACAGGAUCACCAGCAUUUGCAAUUGCAGUUGUAUUGGCCUGUGUUGUAUGUGCUUUCAUAAUUUCCCUUUUUGAAGUGUUAGAAUGCAUAUAUUAUUCAUUCAUAUGUGCUGUGACUCGACUUUUUUUGCAAGUUUUUAUAAUAAUUAGAGUUUUCUAUUUUCACUGAUUUUGUCUUCUAACUAAUCUCCGAUUCCUAAUGGUUCUCCUCUAUCUAUCUAUCUAUCUAUCUAGCAAGAGUUCUUGUGAGAACCUUCAAGGCAGUUAAGCAAAGAGGCUGCCUCGUUCCUUGAAAAUAAAAUUUUCAAUCACGCAAUAUGUUUAAAUAAUUAUUCACCGUUUCACCUUUCCUCGAAUCACCUGGAUAUUGCAAUAGAACGGACUGCUCAUGCGCCUCUAUACAAAUUCAGAUAAUUAACAGUGCAAAAUUUUAUUUAUUAAACCCUAAUCCAACUAAUUCAAUGGAUCAAAUAAAAAUCAGAACCCAGAUGCAGAUUUCCAUUUUCCCAUGAAAAAGACGGCAAAAAUUCAAUAGCAACCAGAGAUGAGAUUAGAUAUCCAACACAAAGUUAAUUCAAUAAAAAAUUUCGCAAAUAAAAACUACAAUUUGAUAGUGUAUGUGUUUUCUCCUACAGCAAAAUUAUAAAUCGAUUAUGAUGGAAUAAUUCCUUCUAGAAAAUUAAUUAAUUAUAAGUUGGGAACCUGUUGUCUGUUGAUAAUUACGGAGCUAAUCCUCGUCUUUCUUGCUCUUGGGCUUGCGGUACUUCUCUUCAAUGAGCUUGGCCAUGAAGAGGCCAGAGGUGGCGAGCUUCUUGAUAUUGGGAACGUCAUAGUUUUGAGCAAUGUAAACCCCGCACACAGUGCCUACUAUGAAGGAGAAACAGCUCCUUAUUAUCCCCAUCGCCUAUGCUAUGCUAAUGUGUAAUUGCUGCUGCAAUCGCCGCCACUGGUUGGAUAUUUAGAGCUGUAAAAUUUUAUAUGAUUGGAGAGGUGGAGGGACUUGGGUUCUGGAAGGAUCUGCCACGUCAGGACCCUCUUCUUGAGGUGCUCGAGAGUUGAGUCUGCUGCUCUAGAAUGAAACUGGGAUCAGAGAUGGUCUAAUACCCAUCCUAUGGAGACUCCUCUGCCUCUGGUCCUCAACGUGCAACUAACCGUGAAUGGUCGAGCCGAGUCAAGAAUGG
rnacentral:misc_RNA from 1 species